CUUGUACACACCGCCCGUCGACACCAUGGGAGUGGGUUCCACCAGAAGUAGUUAGCCUAACCGCAAGGGGGGCGACUACCACGGUGAGAUUCAUGACUGGGGUG
rnacentral:rRNA from 1 species